AGAAAGCACAGGGCCAGAAGAGGACAAACAAGAAGAGACAGACCUCCAUGCUUAAAAGGAAAAGGAGAAAUAUAGAGAAAAUGGGCGAUGUAUUUCUGCCGACGGAUCUGUCCCUGGGGGAGCACCCAGGGCUGUCUGUCCCAGGACUCUCCCUCUGCCUCACUGGACCAGCUCCCUGGCAGGGCCUGGGGGAUCAAAGCUCCAAGGUUGGAGUAAGCUGAUGUGCUCUUUUUCUGGUCCAGAUUCCAGCUGGACAUGACAUCACCACACAGGAAAUGUUCAUGUGAUCUCCCUGUAUGACUUGGUGGCUGCUAGCUAAAAGAUGCCAUUGUCUGAGCCAUGGUCUGACACAGGGAAUGACAUCGAUAGACAUUGGGUGACUUGUAUGGAGACUCCUCUUCACAUCAAUGGUAUUGCUCUUGGUAUUCACGAGUUCUACAAAACCAACAGUAAUUCCAUUCAAAGGACUUCUAGACUUCUCUAACACUGCCUAAGAUUUUAUACAAUAUCUCUGUCGUUAACCAAGCCAUGAAAACAUGUUAUUAGAAUGCCAUUAUUUAGUAAGUGGCUUCAUCUUGUUGAUUUUUGUUCAUUUUCAAGGCAUGGAACAUAAU